UACGAGUGGUCCAAGCAUUAUCCGGAAUUAUUGGGCGUAAAGGGUGUGUAGGUGGUCCUGUCCCGAUUUAUCGGGAUUACUAGUCUUUCGUUAAAACUCCCGGCUUAACCGGGAAUCUGCGCAAGAUACGGCAGGACUCGAGGGUGCAAGAGGCAUACAGAACUCAUGUGUAGGGUGAAAUCCGUUGAUAUCAUGGGGAAUACAAAGCGAAGCAGUAUGCUGGUGACACUGACACCUG
rnacentral:rRNA from 1 species